AACCCAUAGUGAGGGAACCUUAUCAAUAAAUCCUUAUACCUCUCUCAUGCAUCAUAUAACAUAUCUAAAUCAAUCUGCACAAAGGAAGAGAUGUCAUUCCUUAACUU
rfam:Gossypium raimondii chromosome 6, whole genome shotgun sequence.